UGGGGAAUAUUGCACAAUGGGCGCAAGCCUGAUGCAGCCAUGCCGCGUGUAUGAAGAAGGCCUCGGGUUGUAAAGUACUUUCAGCGGGGAGGAAGGGAGUAAAGUUAAUACCUUUGCUCAUUGACGUUACCCGCAGAAGAAGCACCGGCUAACUCCGUGCC
rnacentral:rRNA from 1 species